CCCAGACAGCCAGGAUGUUGGCUUAGAAGCAGCCAUCAUUUAAAGAAAGCGUAAUAGCUCACUGGUCGAGUCGGCCUGCGCGGAAGAUGUAACGGGGCUAAACCAUGCACCGAAGCUGCGGCAGCGAACGUAUCACUUAAAGCGAUUCAGCGGGUUACGAUUGACGGAGCGAAGCGACGUCAAAGCGUAUACAAAGUCGAGUCGGUUUAAGGAUACGUUCGUUGGGUAGGGGAGCGUUCUGUAAGCCUGUGAAGGUGUGUCGUGAGGCAUGCUGGAGGUAUCAGAAGUGCGAAUGCUGACAUAAGUAACGAUAAAGCGGGUGAAAAGCCCGCUCGCCGGAAGACCAAGGGUUCCUGUCCAACGUUAAUCGGGGCAGGGUGAGUCGACCCCUAAGGC
rnacentral:rRNA from 4 species